rnacentral:rRNA from 1 species
GACAGAGGGUGCAAACGUUGUUCGGAAUUACUGGGCGUAAAGCGCGUGUAGGCGGCUUCGCAAGUCGGGUGUGAAAGCCCUGGGCUCAACCUAGGAAGUGCACUCGAAACUGCAAAGCUGGAGUCCUGGAGAGGAAGGCGGAAUUCUCGGUGUAGAGGUGAAAUUCGUAGAUAUCGAGAGGAACACCGGUGGCGAAGGCGGCCAACUGGACGAAUACUGACGCUGAGACACGAAAGCGUGGGGAGCAAACAGG